GGUUUGAUAGUUUAAUAUAAAAAUGUAGAUUUUGUAAAUCUAAGAUAUAAAUUUAUUCAAUGUG
rnacentral:tRNA from 1 species